GAUCCUGGGAGCUCCUUCCAGCUCCUACAUCUGGACGACGACAACUGAAGGUGCCGAGACUCGGGGACCCCCAUCACCCUCGCCGAGCCGCGGGUAACUCUCCUGGUAGUGACGACACUUGAUAUACUCGGACCUUUCACACGUUGCCUCACUGAUGGUGCGAAGUGAUGGAUCACUUUGAUUUCAGCGUGCACUGCCCUCCUUCCUAAUGAGGCUGAGCAUCUUUACCAGUGUUUACUCCUCCGGAUGGAGCAGUCUGGCGCUUCCAUUGAACUCAGAUGGAGUCUUGCUUUGUUGCCCAGGCUGGAGUGCAGUGGCGCAAUCUCGGCUCACUGCAGCCUCCACCUCCCAAGUUCAAGGGAUUCUCCUGCCUCAGUCUCCCGAGUAGCUGAGAUUACAGCUUGCAUGUCUUUUGAGAAGUGUCUGCUUAUGUCCUCUGCCCAUUUUUUAAUGGAGGUAUGUUUUUUGUUUAUUGAUUUAAGUUCCCAAUCGAUUCUGGAUGUUAGACUUUUGUCAAAUGCACAGAUUGAGAAUAUUUUCUCCCAUUCUGUAGGUUGUCUGUUUACUCUGUUGACAGUCUCUUUUGCUGUGCAGAAACUCUUUAGUUUAAUUAGGACCCAGCACUCUAGUCUUUUACACGUUUCAAAGCCAUAAGUGUGAAGACUAUAGCAACAGUAUGUCUGCUGGCUGGAGUAGAAUCUGCCAGUCUGAAUCCUAUGAAUGCAACCUGAAAGAAUUAUUUUCCCCUUUUUUUUCUUUUUUGAGAUGGAGUCUCGCUUUGUUGCCCACGUGGAGUGCAGUGGCGUGAUUGGCUCACUGCAAGCUCCGCCUCUUGGGUUCAUGCCAUUCUCCUGCCUCAGCCUCCCGAGUAGCUGGGACUACAGGCGUCCACCACCAUGCCCAGCUAAUUUUUUUGUACUUUUAGUAGAGACGGGGUUUCACGUGUUAGCCAGGAUGGUCUCGAUCUCCUGACCUCGUGAUCUGCCCGCCUCAGCCUCCCAAAGUGCUGGGCCACCACACCUGGCCUAUUUUCCCUUAAAAGAGAAAACUUUCUCCCCAAGAACCAAAUUUUAACUCAAACUCUUUAUACAAUAACUUACUCUUAUUAAAGUUUGGGUCUUUUCUGAUUAUUAAAGUAACAUAUACUUGUUUUAGAAAAUUUGGAAAAUACAGAAAUGUAUUAAACUAAGAAUCACCCAUAAUUCCACUUCCACCCAGAGUUCAUUGCUCUGCAGGUUUUAGCUUUGUCCACUGAAUCUGAGCUAGUCCAACUUUCCAAAUCUUGUCAUAGACCAACUUCCAAAGCAUUCACAUCUUUUCCCAUAGGAAAUGACAUCUAAACAUGUAACAUAUAAAAAAAAAGUACUCAAACCAAAUGUUUCUUUACAAAGUGAUUUCCUACAAAACCUCUAUUUUCCAAAUUCCUAUGAGCUAGAGACUCGGAUACAGACUACUGAGCGUUUAUUAAAAUAACAAGAGAACAAAG
rnacentral:lncRNA from 1 species